AACGAACGCUGGCGGCAUGCCUAACACAUGCAAGUCGAACGAGACCUUCGGGUCUAGUGGCGCACGGGUGCGUAACGCGUGGGAACCUGCCCUUAGGUUCGGAAUAACUCCCCGAAAGGGGUGCUAAUACCGGAUAAUGUCUUCGGACCAAAGAUUUAUCGCCUUUGGAUGGGCCCGCGUUGGAUUAGCUAGUUGGUAGGGUAAAAGCCUACCAAGGCGACGAUCCAUAGCUGGUCUGAGAGGAUGAUCAGCCACACUGGGACUGAGACACGGCCCAGACUCCUACGGGAAGCAGCAGUGGGGAAUAUUGGACAAUGGGCGAAAGCCUUAUCCAGCAAUGCCGCGUGAGUGAUGAAGGCCUUAGGGUUGUAAAGCUCUUUUACCCGGGAUGAUAAUGACAGUACCGGGAGAAUAAGCUCCGGCUAACUCCGUG
rnacentral:rRNA from 1 species